AAACUGUUUAAUAACAUUACUCAAAUAAAGUCGAAAGACAUUUAAGAAAAUGAAAGAUGAAAAGACAUCAAUUUUCAUGAUAUUUCGUUUUCCCAGAACUAUUCAUUUUCUUGAACUAUACCUUUUUAUAACCAACCAUAUGCCAUAGUAUAUCUACUGGUUGAAGGCUUGUAUUUGAUUCAUUAGAUGUAAGAAAACUAAAGGCAGAAGUGAAGUUUCUAUUAUGCACUCUUCCUGAAACUCCGAGAACUACUGCUCACUGAAUUAAAGUUGCACAUCUGAUCAAAUGGCAUGAGGUCACAACAGUUUUUAGGUUUUGGACAGAGGACGAUAGUUGCACCAAAGCGACGACGGGACUGAGACAAAGUCACGGAUGCGGGAUAAAGACUUAGACGAGAAAUAUGAGAGUAUAAUGACUUAUUUAAUGAUUCCAGUGAUGUUUCCCAAUUUGGACUGCUCACCGAACUGCUUUUUUACAUGGUUACUUGAGCACAAGCUUUCCAUCGAAGAUAUUCACAGAAAAAUUGAUGUGCAUGGUCCAUCUAGAUGCUUCUGUUGUAAUGAAUACUCUGAAGAGACCUUCAAUCGUUUAUUUUGCAUUGGUGAACUUGCAACUAAAGUCUAUACUUAUUUUUGCAAAAGUGCAGGUUUCACUUUUAAUGCCUCAUACUACUAAAAACAUGUUCAUGCAUUUGUGGCAGUAACGCAAAAAUUAAGCUGUAAUCUUUCAUUUUUCAAUGCUUGCCUUCUGUCGUAUGUUGGGAAUUGGGAGAUGCAAUCAUACAAAUGCACCUAGAGAUUUGAUGCCAUCAGAACAUCUUUUUGAAGAGUCACUGAACAGUGCAAUUAUCUUCUGAAGCUCAUGAUCAAUGCUCAGUUUCCUACAUUCUCUUCCUCUGCCACAUGAUUGGAGCUUUGUGAUUUUGCUGACAGAGAGAAGCACCAGCUGAAUACCACUGUUAAAUGCGAAAAUAGUAUUGGGUCAUCUUCCAAUUCAACCUGUAACUCAUAUAAGAUGUCUGCUUUCGGCUUUAUUUUUAGUAAAAGUGCUGUUAAGCUCA